AUUGAACGCUGGCGGCAGGCCUAACACAUGCAAGUCGAACGAGUGGCGGACGGGUGCGUAAUGUCUGGGAAACUGCCUGAUGGAGGGGGAUAACUACUGGAAACGGUAGCUAAUACCGCAUACCAUCAGAUGUGCCCAGAUGGGAUUAGCUUGUUGGUGGGGUAACGGCUCACCGAGGCGACGAUCCCUAGCUGGGCUGAGCGGAUGACCAGCCACACUGGAACUGAGACACGGUCCAGACUCCUACGGGAGGCAGCAGUGGGGAAUAUUGCACAAUGGGCGCAAGCCGGAUGCAGCCAUGCCGCGUGUAUGAAGAAGGCCUUCGGGUUGUAAAGUACUUUCAGCGGGGAGGCGUGACUCGCAGAAGAAGCACCGGCUAACUCCGUGCCAGCAGCCGCGGUAAUAC
rnacentral:rRNA from 1 species